GACAGAGGGUGCAAACGUUUGUUCGGAAUUACUGGGCGUAAAGCGCGUGUAGGCGGUCGGGUAAGUCGGAUGUGAAAGCCCCGGGCUCAACCCGGGAAGUGCAUUCGAUACUACUUGGCUAGAGUACUGGAGAGGAUGGUGGAACUCUCGGUGUAGAGGUGAAAUUCGUAGAUAUCGAGAAGAACACCCGGUCGGCGAAGGCGGCUAUCUGGACAGGAUACUGGACGCUGAGACGCGAAAGCGUGGGGAGCA
rnacentral:rRNA from 1 species